AGGUUUUUUUCAGCCAAGUGAAAAUUCUGCUAAACAUGUAGGGAGAUUUCAGUGUUGCUUUGCACUUGUCUAAAAUUGGAUGACGUUGAUUACUUAAUUAAGGCUCAGAAAAGGAUGUGAUUUUAUUCAGACAUUUGAGAAAGGCAGGCCAAGAGGAAAUGGGGUCGGUACUUCUGUAGGAGAGAAUCGUGAUUACAAACUAUCGACUGACAUGAGACUGCCGCUACUUGAAGAAAAGACAGCAAGCUGAGCAUGAACAAAGAGAAGAAUCCAUUAACACAACAAUCACUAAAGCCACUCACACCCAACAAUGGCCUGUCUGACUACCCGAUAGCUUCGUUUUGAGUGCACUGAGAGGCAUUUGGUCAGUGUUAACUGCAGACAGGACCACUGUUGAGGAAAGAAUAACACUCACAUUGCAUUGGCGGUGACCAGCAGGUCGGCGUUGUCUAGCAGCGUGACUAGAGGCCACUCCACUAG